GGAAAUGACUCUCAGCUGUCCACACACAACAAAACAAGCAGCCUCUGCAGAGUUGUAGAGCUCUCCACACAAGGUGAUGGAGUCUUGUGGGCUUUUCUGCCCAGGUUGCCUUUAAAUUGUAAUCCUCCUCAUCGCCACCUCCUGAACAGCUAGGAUUUAAGGGGGAGCGAAUGCAAGGGGAAAUUGGUAUGAACCAGCAAAGAAUCAUUCCAGUAGCAAGCCUGCACAAGAGUCACUGAGGAAGAUCUCAGCUUCGACCACUGACCCCAGGGGUCAGAAAAAAGAGUGGCAAUCAGCUGUUCAUCCUGCACAGGGACACAAAUAAAUGAACACCUUGCUGUGAAUUGUGAAAGCCUGAAAGGAUCCUGCAUAAUUGAAGAAGAAAGUGAUAGCUUGAAAGGGUACACCAAAGUGCCAUCAGAAAAGAUCAUGGACCCUUGAAUAACUUGAAAGGUAAUGUUAUACUUCAAGCUUGUAGAUUAUUUCCUGCGUAAUACAUAAACAAAGUUUAUAUUUCUAAAGCUAAAAUUGAUAAAUAAUAUGUAUCUAUCAAAGGAGGAAGCUACAAUGCUUGAUAAGAAAUGUACUCAUUAUCUUGCCCUUG